CUCCUACGGGACGCAGCAGUGAGGAAUAUUGGUCAAUGGACGAGAGUCUGAACCAGCCAAGUCGCGUGAAGGAUGACUGCCCUAUGGGUUGUAAACUUCUUUUAUAAAGGAAUAAAACGAGGCACGUGUGCCUUUUUGCAUGUACUUUAUGAAUAAGGAUCGGCUAACUCCGUGCCAGCAGCCGCGGUAAUACGGAGGAUCCGAGCGUUAUCCGGAUUUAUUGGGUUUAAAGGGAGCGUAGAUGGGUUGUUAAGUCAGUUGUGAAAGUUUGCGGCUCAACCGUAACAUUGCAAUUGAUACUGGCA
rnacentral:rRNA from 1 species